GUGAGUCUUUGCCAUGGGGGAAACGAGAGGUUUUGUAAAACUACAGCUUACAGGAACUGGAGUCUUUCCACUGAGGAAGAAAAGAACUGAAAAGAUAAAAGAAAAAUAUUUGUAUGCUGCAUCUCUAUGGUUUCAGUUUGCCUGGCUUGAUUGCAGAGCCAUCUUCUGGCUGAAAAUAACAAUUUCAUACUUGCUGAAAGUAACUGCUCAAAUCACAGACCACCUCAUUUAUCUCGGAAUUGUUCCAGGCUCUAUAAGCAAUUUUAUUUCCAUUAGAGCAAUUAUGUGAACCUCAAUCUGCCACCUGCAUGCCAGUCAGUUUUCAUAACACUUCAAGUGGAAAUUAAUACAAAAAGAGAAAAAAAAAUGAAAAAAUGGAUGCUCAAAUUCUAAUACGGUGCAUGUGCAAGAACAUUCUACACUUGUAUGUGGAAAUGGUAAAGAAAGAAAAUAAAAUCAAAAGGACCUUUAUAAUUACAAAAUUGUUGGCUUUGUUUAGUUCUUCUAUUCACAAGCAAUAUUUUUACAUAUUUCUAUUCCGUAAGUAGUGUCUAUUUACAAGCAGAGUAUUUGUUGAAAAUUAAAAUAAUCAGUGUUUGUAAUAUUUAUUUUAUUCUAUCUUGAUUAUUAAUUUCAGUUGAUUUUUCUUUCUGUCAUCAGGGGUUGUUCUUCUUUCAUUUCUAAUUGGAAGUUCGGAGAAGUAGAAUCAGAAAGGACACAAGUAUGAGAGAGAUGAGUGAAUUAAACCGAAUAAUUUGUCAAGUCACAGAUUUAUAAA